GUGCGAAAACCAAAAAAAAAUGCUUAUUUGGGUCCCUUUUUGGCCCCUAAUUCCUAAACUGUUGGGACCUAAACUCCCAAAAUCAAUACCAACCUUCCUUUUGUGGUCAUAAACAUUGUGUUUAAAUUUCAUUGAUUUCUAUUUACUUAAACUAAAGUUAUUGUGCGAAAACCAAGAAUAAUGCUUAUUUGGGCCCUUUUUUGGCCCCUAAUUCCUAAACUGUUGGAACCAAAAAUCCCAAAAUC
rnacentral:lncRNA from 1 species